UGUGUGGACACUCCUAGGAUAGAAAGUUUGGAAAAUGGAGAACCAGGCACCCGUGUGGCUGCUAAGGAUGGGCUGAAGCUGGGGUCUGGACCUUCAAUCAAAGCCUUAGAUGGGAGAUCUCAAGUUUCAACACCACGUUUUGGCAAAACGUUCGAUGCCCCACCAGCCUUACCUAAAGCUACCAGAAAAGCUUUGGGAACUGUCAACAGAGCUACAGAAAAGUCUGUAAAGACCAAGGGACCCCUCAAACAAAAACAGCCAAGCUUUUCUGCCAAAAAGAUGACUGAGAAGACUGUUAAAGCAAAAAGCUCUGUUCCUGCCUCAGAUGAUGCCUAUCCAGAAAUAGAAAAAUUCUUUCCCUUCAAUCCUCUAGACUUUGAGAGUUUUGACCUGCCUGAAGAGCACCAGAUUGCGCACCUCCCCUUGAGUGGAGUGCCUCUCAUGAUCCUUGACGAGGAGAGAGAGCUUGAAAAGCUGUUUCAGCUGGGCCCCCCUUCACCUGUGAAGAUGCCCUCUCCACCAUGGGAAUCCAAUCUGUUGCAGUCUCCUUCAAGCAUUCUGUCGACCCUGGAUGUUGAAUUGCCACCUGUUUGCUGUGACAUAGAUAUUUAAAUUUCUUAAUGCUUCAGAGUUUGUGUGUAUUUGUAUUAAUAAAGCAUUCUUUAACAGA
rnacentral:sRNA from 1 species